rnacentral:lncRNA from 1 species
UAGAUAAGGAAAUGGGUCAGAGGGAUUAAAAGCCAGAGCAAGAGAUUGCCGAGAAGAUGAACCGCAGCCCACUCACUCCCCUGUGUCCACUUCCAUCUACAGAAGCUGGAUGGGAAGUCCCGUCCCAGCAGGGUUCCUGUGAAGUCGUGGGGAAAGCUCACCAUCAGAACCUGAGGCAGAGCCAGGCACCGCCCUCCACCGGCGACAGCAGAGCUCACGGCUGGGAAAGGCCCGCAGAAGCGGGGAAGAGCCUUUGAAGUCCUGCUCUUGCAGAAACAGCCUAUAAAUGAUGGCGUCUGUCAUAAGCACGAUAUGAAGCCGGGUUGUGGCCAAAAGAGAACAUCAAAUCCUGGAUCAUCGAUUUUCUGACCUUAGAGGCCCCUUUCAGGAUGAAGCCUCAUAAUUUUCAAGCUUCUCCAGUGUUCAUCCCCCAGGGAAAUGUGCCCUAUUCUUCCCAUAAUCCAGCAAACACCUAUUAAUUAACUGGAGGGGGAAAAAAAAGAGAAUUGUAGGGGAAGUAUGAUGGGGCAGUAAAACAGUAGGUACCCUCACUGACCCCAGGGCAGUAUGUAAUCCACCGCAAAUCUCCUCCCAAAUUACAACAAUGGCUUGUAGAGGAGAGGAAGAAGAGAAACCCUAAAUUUUAUUCCUACUUCCAACAUCUGCUCCCUCUCCAUUGUUGGGUGACCCGCCUAGAGUGGUUCUUGGUCUCCAUUCCUGCAGCAGGUUGGAAAAAAGAUUGUGUAAUGUCAGUCAAGUACCAAGCAAUUGAAAAGCAAGUGGUAUUAUUCAUCUGGAAAUUGAUCUAGCUAGUCUUUGUCUCGGCUGCUAGAGCUAAUUUCAUUCACAGGUGCCAUGUUAUUUACUGAUUUAACCAUCUCCUUCAGUACCACUUCUCAGCAUUGCACUUUUAAGUAAAAUAAUGUUCUUGUGUGUGUGUCUUGAUUACACAUGUCACUGGAGACAGAAAUGAAGGUUUAAAAUUUCCUGCUAGGUGUUUGCUCUUCCUGGCUCGGAUCCGGCAUGGCUGCCGGCUAUCAGGUUCCAUACACCAGCUGUGGUGUGGUGAGUGGGGGGCAGGGACUAGAACAGAAGCUCCCUCGUUCAUUCAACAAACAUUCUGUCGUAGGAUGGGUUCUCAAGGAAGCAGAUCCCAAGUCAAGGACUUGAGAGCAAGUCCUUUACUGGAGAACCAAAGAAAAUGACAGUUGUGAGGUGAGGAAGUAAGACAAAGAAAGGAAGGCAGUCAAUCAAGGGUGCAUUGUUGGGUCAUCUGGGAAAUUUGGGAUCUGGGGUAGAACACAUGCCUC